rnacentral:rRNA from 1 species
CCCGCUGAACUUAAGCAUAUCAAUAAGCGGAGGAAAAGAAACUAACAAGGAUUCCCCUAGUAACGGCGAGUGAAGCGGGAACAGCUCAAAUUUGAAACCUGGCGUCCUUCGGGCGUCCGGAUUGUAUUCUAGAGAAGCGUCUUCCACGCUGGUCCAUGUAUAAGUGCCCUGGAACGGGCUGUCAUAGAGGGUGAGAAUCCCGUCCUUGACAUGGGCUACCAGUGUUUUUGUGAUGCGCUUUCUAAGAGUCGAGUUGUUUGGGAAUGCAGCUCAAAGUGGGUGGUAAAUUCCAUCUAAAGCUAAAUAUUGGCCUGAGACCGAUAGCGAACAAGUACCGUGAGGGAAAGAUGAAAAGCACUUUGAAAAGAGAGUCAAACAGUACGUGAAAUUGCUGAAAGGGAAACGCUUGAAGUCAGUCGCGCCCCCUGGAAUUCAGCCCUGCUUUUGUAGGGUGUACUUUCCAGGGGGCGGGCCAACAUCAGUUUUGACCGGCAGAUAAAGGCUGGGGGAAUGUGGCUCCUUUUGGAGUGUUAUAGCCCUCGGUCACAUAUGCCGGUUGGGACUGAGGAUCGCAGCGCGCCCUUGUGGCAGGCCUUCGGGCACUUUCGCGCUUAGGAUGUUGGCAUAAUGGCUUUAAGCGACCCGUCUUGAAACACGG